rnacentral:rRNA from 1 species
CUACGGAACUCCUACGGGAGGCAGCAGUGGGGAAUAUUGCACAAUGGGCGAAAGCCUGAUGCAGCGACGCCGCGUGAGGGAUGAAGGUCUUCGGGUUGUAAACCUCUUUCAGUAGGGAAGAAGCGCAAGUGACGGUACCUACAGAAGAAGCACCGGCUAACUACGUGCCAGCAGCCGCGGUAAUACGUAGGGUGCGAGCGUUGUCCGGAAUUAUUGGGCGUAAAGAGCUUGUAGGCGGUUUGUCGCGUCUGCCGUGAAAAUCCGGGGCUCAACUCCGGACUUGCGGUGGGUACGGGCAGACUAGAGUGUGGUAGGGGAGACUGGAAUUCCUGGCGUAGCGGUGAAAUGCGCAGAUAUCAGGAGGAACACCGAUGGCGAAGGCAGGUCUCUGGGCCACUACUGACGCUGAGAAGCGAAAGCGUGGGGAGCGAACAGGAUUAGAUACCCCAGUAGUCCUCUUCGA